rnacentral:misc_RNA from 1 species
GAUGAAGAACGUAGCGAAAUGCGAUACUUGGUGUGAAUUGCAGAAUCCCGUGAACCAUCGAGUCUUUGAACGCAAGUUGCGCCCGAAGCCAUUAGGCCGAGGGCACGCCUGCCUGGGCGUCACACGUCGUUGCCCCCCCAUCUACUCCUUCGGGAUUGCGGGGGGCGGAUGAUGGCCUCCCGUGCGCCUCGUCGCGCGGUUGGCAUAAAUGCCAAGUCCUCGGCGACGCACGCCACGACAAUCGGUGGUUGCGAAACCUCGGUUGCCCGUCGUGUGCGGUCGUCGCGCAUCGAGGGCUCGAAAAAAUUGUCGGGCUCCGGCUCGGCUUUCAACGCGACCCCAGGGCAGGCGGGGUUACCCGCUGAAUUUAAGCAUAUCAAUAAGCGGAGGA